rnacentral:rRNA from 1 species
UACGUAGGCAGCAAGCGUUGUUCGGAGUUACUGGGCGUAAAGGGUGUGUAGGCGGUUCUUUAAGUUUGGUGUGAAAUCUUCCGGCUCAACUGGGAGGGUGCGCCGAAUACUGAGGGACUAGAGUACGGGAGAGGAAAGUGGAAUUCCUGGUGUAGCGGUGAAAUGCGCAGAUAUCAGGAAGAACACCAAUGGCGAAGGCAGCUCUCUGGGACGGUACUGACGCUGAGACGCGAAAGCGUGGGGGAGCGAACAGG